UACCCCAAGUUUACCCUAAAACACUCCCCAGCUGUCCACCACUGAGCACCUCAUUUAUCCUUCAAAAUAUUCACUCUCUGCCCUGGACGUUCCCUCAAGUUUUACCCCCAAAGGUUUCCCCUCCUGCCCACCCCUGACUGCCUCAGUGUCCAGCAGGAGGUACAUCCUCUCUGCUACAGGUGACCUGAAAUUUUACACACACAAAUUUUCCCUACCUGCCCACCACUCACUGCCUCACUUUAUCUCUAAAUGGUCAUUCUGUCCUCUACAGAUGAGAUCAACUCUUACACCCAACAUUUCCCUUCCUCUACAUCACCCAUUUUCUCUUCCUGACGCCCCAAAUUUCCCUUCCAUCCCUACACAUUCCCUGAGUGUUUCCCUCCCAAGCAUCCUUCCCUUCUUCCCUGUUUAAGAACUCACACUCCAGCCCCAGGCUCUCCACUCCCCCUCAGUGGGACCCCUCCAAAAUGCCACCUCCCUCCCCUCUGCAGCACCUCACCUUUUCCUUCAGAAACAGUUGCUGGGGCCCCUCGAAAUUACCCCAAGUUGGCAGCUACAAAUGUCACCUCUGUCCCUGCCAUGUUCUCCCAGGUUUCCCCAGCUGGGAGCUGCAAGGAAUUCAGGCCAGGGAAUGGACAGCAGGGAACAGCUGUACAUGCAAAGGCAGAAAGAGAAGUUUCCCAGGGAGAAGAACAGGAACUCACAGCCACCAAGGCCUGACAGUCCCCUGCAGCCAGAGCUCAGCACACACCCAGAGAGGCAAUUCCAGCAUCUAAAAGGAAAAAAAAAAAAGAACAAAAAAAGUGAUUUAUUUUGUUUUAAAGUUA